UUGCUAUUUCUUUCUACCCUCUGAUUUCGCCAGACAUCCCAUUACUUUCUUUAAAUUAAAAAUUUUCUUUUAUAUUAUACUAAAUAAAAGUCUUGUUCCGUUUUAAGUGUUUUAACUUCCGAUCACCGCUACCCUUUCCGAUUGAUCUGAGUCCCAUAACGCAUGUCAAGGCUCUGCCCGACUAAGUUCGUUUGGAUUCUAUCUCGGAACAUCGGGACAAGGUUAAUUUAGGGGUACUAUAUAUUUAACACAAGUGCAAUAUAUAUUUUUAAUAACUCCAAAAGUUAUACCCAAAAAAUUAUACUAGGAGUCCUUCUAGUCGAACCCUAAAGUUACACAGUGGGUCCAUUCCUUUUUCUCACCAUUUUAUUCUCUUUUUGUAAGUUACCCAAAACUAUUAUUUAUUAUUUAUUAUUUCUAUUUUGUAACCAAACUUUUAUCAAAAGUCAUGCCUAUUAUUUUAUUUACCCAAUAGGAAACCCUAAUUGAGACCUCCCAAAUAAUUCUACACAAUUCCUAAAAUUUUCGUAGCAAUCAGAAUCAGGAUCAGGGCCCCUAAAACUCAAGGGGGGUAUUCCCUACUUGACGGUUAUCCAUAUAACUCGCUGUAGAAAUUAAAAUUAUUGUUUCCAUCGACUCAGCAAGCCUACCCCUAAACGUGUCCACCCUAGGCUAGAAAAUAGACCCGUCGCGCCACGCGACGGGUGCACAUGUUCCUGUCGCGACACGCGAGGGGGACGAUUUUCCAGCUAUAAAUAGUAGGCUGUGGGACUUGAUUUCUGGAGUUGGAACGACAGAAAAUUUCGUCUUACACUCCGAGUUAUAGCCACCCACAAUCACGAAUUCUGCUACGAAACAGGGUAAUUACUCGAUCGCUAUUACGAUUCAUCUUCCGAGAUCAAUAUAUCCAAGGAAUGUCUAAGUGCCACCCACAUUGGGUUAUGCUUUAUCGUUGUCGAUAAUUCGAUAAUGAGCCGAAGCAUUGUACUUUGUCGUUGUCGAUAAUUCGAUAUACGAGUUGAAGUACUAUACUUUGUCGUUUGUCAUUUUGAUAAAUGAGCUGAAGUAUUGCACUUGGACAUUCAUUGUAAAAAUUGAUCUCGGGGAAUUAUCGUAACUGUUGUAUUGAGCAUUAACCCGGUUUUUUGUGAAAUUCGUUAAGAUUGAUUUAGGUUUUUCACCAAUACUUAUUCCAUUAUGUUAAAACCACCAGAAAUACUCCCAACUACACCCUUACAAUCAAAUAAACUAUUAAAUCAUCAGAAGAUCCAGAAUAAUAAAGUGCAUGCUUAAUUAUCGGAAGAAAUAGAAUCAAGAAGUUGUUAAUUCAAUCCUGCAUGCUGAUUUGUAAUUACAGUAGAUUGAAGUAAGGAUUGGAUCCGACACUGAAGGACUUCAAGAAGUGGCUUAUUUUAUUAAUUAAAUCAACUUAAGAAAUAUUGUUUUCAUUAAAAGCUACCUUUGUAAAACAUGGAAUUUAUUCCAUCUAUUUCAAUAAAAAUCCGGUGU
rnacentral:lncRNA from 1 species